rnacentral:rRNA from 1 species
GGUUGAUCCUGCCAGUAGUCAUAUGCUUGUCCUAAAGAUUAAGCCAUGCAUGUCCAAGUAUAAACCUUUAUACGGUGAAACUGCGAAAGGCUCAUUAAAUCAGUUAUAAUUUACAUGAUGAUGACGAUUACAUGGAUAACCGUGGUAAUUCUAGAGCUAAUACAUGCAAAAAAUUCUGUAAAGGGAUUGCAUUUAUUAGAUAAAACCAAUUCAAGGCGACUUGAUGUAUGGCGAGUCAUGAUAACUGAGCGGAUCGUAGGGCCUUGAGCCGACGACGCAUCAUUCAAAUUU